UCACCUUACAAGUGUUUACGAACUGGUAUUAUCACCGAUAAUAUCUUUCUUACAAAUAAUACCAAGACAAUAUUUCUAUCUUACGUCUAUAUAAGAUAUCUUACGUCUUAGGAAGGAUCGUCAUUCAACGAUUUUCAACAUUGGAUUUUUUUUCUAAUUAAAUGCUAACGCGUAUGUAUGCACAACAUUACUGAAAAAGAAGAAUUUUAUCGAAUAGGGGAUAGUAAACAAACAAAUUGUUUUAGUUGAAGUUAACUUUGUUACCAUUCUAAUUGACUCUGAUAACAGUGAGUUUCAUCUACAAUUAUUUUCCCAACAAUCAUCGCGUUAUCUCUUCGUUAUUUUUCCACCAUGUUAAUUAAGUGAUAAGGUUAACGAGAGAAAAACGAUUAAAAGCGAUGGAAACCUUUCUCAUUCACUAAACAUGCGUUGAUCACGUUCAUCAAAUAUUCCCGGCUGAAUCCCUCUCUCAUGAUUUUUUCUUGUCAGAAAUAUUUAUUUUCUAUGCGGCAUUAUGAUUUCUCCUGGUUUACGGAAGGAUACUAUGAGGAAACGAUUUCGAGAAUAUCAUCGAGCAGUGCGACUCUCAAAGUAAGACUUCACGUCCAUAAAGACCUUUUCAAGCGUUAUCCUACCCUCCCAUCAUCAUUUCUUAUAGGAAGCCAACUUUACCCUCAUGAUUUCCUCAUAUUUUGUCUUCCAAAUAAAAAUAUGAUUGGAAUUCGCGUAUCUCGACAGAAGUUAUCGCAAAAUUAAUGUGCACGUAAAAAUGAUGACCGAAACAAGUGGUGUAACCUGCGAACGCCAGUUGCUUGAUGAAGAAGUCCAUCCGAGAUUUUCGACGUUUUCCGAGCAAAAGACCAGCAAGAACUGCAGUGUUACCAGCAACGAUCACAACGAAUAAUAACCACAAAACUGUGAAUUGUUCGGUCUGAAAAAAAGAAAAAUCAUUUUAUACAAACAUGAUUUUCAUCAAAGUUUUAUAAUGUACAAGGAAUAUUUUCAACGUUUGAUAACGAGCCUACGAGUACAUGUGAAUCGCAUUUCGUGGAAAGAACAUUUAAAAUGAAACGUAUACGAGAAUUGAUGAUGAUAGUGGGGGUGAGGAUAAUCUAGCGAUCUUCUCCAGUCUACGUCAUCGUCGAAGGCAUCGUGUGAAGGGUGAAGGUGAAGAAGGGGAACGAAAGGGAUCGUAAAACAUCCUAUUUACGUCCUCGAACGCAGAUUACACCCCUCGGGAGUACAGGACUAGCCCGUAGCAACGAUAUUUUCUUCCAAACGUUGAAUUAUCUAGCCAUCGUACGACAAAAUAUCGUCGAAUCAUCGAAUCUCCGACCGAAUGUAAUACUCUCCUGGCUAACAUUAAUCUUCUUCUCCUUCUUCCUCCCUCUUUUAAUCUUUUUUUCUUUUUACACAUAGACCGGCCUAUUUUCUCGUGAAAUCAUAGAAAUAGAACUGGUCUUUCUCUGUGCUUUUAUAGAACAAACAGUAUCGUAUAUAGUCGAUUACUAUUGAUGAAUUAUAUUAUGUGGUCAAUAAAGUAUAAGAAUGAUAAAAUCUUUAAAGAGAAUAUUCGAAAGAGGAAAUAGGAUUGACGGAGCGAAGAAGGAGUAGAAAGAGAGAGAAUGUCAGAGAGAACGUGACAAAGUAGCGAAGCAAAUUGCAUCGAUUAUUUAUGCUCGUCAACUCAGAUUCUAAAGGAGGAAACGUUGGAAACGACCAAAGAUGUAAAACGUCGUAUUGCCAUGUUUCAAGAGCUUCUUGAAAUUUCAAACAACUAGAAACUCGAUCUUAAUACGACAGGAUUCUUGCUAGAGCGAGCAUAGAAACUGAAGAUAGGAAGUUUACAAUGGGAAACAAACGAGAUCGUAAAGUUAAUAAGUAAUAAAUUAAGAUUUCAAUAAAAAUUAUAUUUAAAUUGUUAUAUUAUUUCGACGAACCAGAUUCGACAAUGCAUUAGAAGGCAUUUAUUGUUGAAAAGUACUCUGGAAGGUGUACGCGCUCGGAUUAAUACUUUCCUGUAAAUUACAUUUCAUUUCAUUCGUCCUGGAACGUAGAAUAGAAAAGAAAAAAAAAAAGAAGGAAAGCUAAAGAGGGAAAAUGUCUUUGAAGGAAUAAAAUCACAUUAUCGAUAUUUUUUUCGCCUCAUAAAACGUCAGGUCUCCGUGCAUUUUUUAAUUUUUUUUAAUUUUUCUUUUUACCGAAUAAGAUAUGAUUUACCAUUUACAAUCUCUGGGAACGUGCUUUUUCACAAGAACGUAAUUCUAAACUCGUCUAAUUCACCGUAAGAGAACAUUUUGCGUAUACAAGGGUCUGUUGUGUACUUAAUUGUGUAUUAAAUGUCCAUUUCAUUCUUUCUUAAACGCAAUUAUGUUUUUUCUUUUGAGUAGACAAAAAAUAAAAAAGAGAAAGCAAGAUCGAGAAUUUUUAUUUCCAAGCAUAGCCUUGAAACUCGACGAGAGUUGAGAGAUCGAAAGUUAGUUCUCGUUUAAUUACUAACUUUAUAGGAUGAUUAAAGUCUUAUAAUUAUCGUGUCACGUGUCACUGAUUUUCACUGACAAAAAUCUUAUUUGAAAUAUUUCUUUUCUUUUUUUUUCUUUUCUAUACAGAAAACGACGACUUUAAUCUCAUACUUUAGAAAAUAAUGUUCGAGAACAUGUUCUUGCACUUUUACCUCUCGAUUUUUCUAUUAAGAGAGAGAGAGAGAGAGAGAGAGAGAGAGAGAGAGAGAGAAAGAGAGAUGGGUAUUUUAAUUAAAAAUUUUAAUGAAGGUACGUGUGCGGAGAUUCGUACGAGUAUGCACAUGACACAUUGCGUUUUCCAGAAAAAAGAACAAAUUUUUAGAUUCGUUUAGAUAAAUAAUUAGAUUCGUUCCAGAGAACUCGGCAUAACUUUUGUUUGUUAAACUGCUAAAAGUUCAAUAAUUUAUAUGUCAACACGUUCAUCUCGUUACGAGUAUUGUAAUGCAUCUUAGAAGGAUUUAUCAAGUAAUUAAUGCACCCUUAAACUAGAAAACUGUUCUCAAGUGAGUCAGUUUUGUGAGAACAUUUUGUUAAUUGUAUAGAAGGUAUUGUGUUAAUCGAACUUGACGAUUUUCUCUGCGUUUUCUCUGUUUCGAGAUAUGUUUCUUAGCUACACUAAUUACUGUCCUGUACCGUUUAUUCUCGAUUUAACGAGUAAACGACUCUCUUCAAUACUUUUUUCAUACUCGUUACGAAAGUGUAAUUAACUUUUCUCGGCGUUAAUUACUUAAAGGUAACAAAAAUGCGAGUCUAUGUUUAAUUUCUCAUUUGCUCUUUUUUUUAUAAAACAGUAGAGAACAAUUUUUGGAUAAUAUUCUUUUUUUAUAACAUCUAAUAAUCAUUUUAUAAUUAAAAUUUAUACAAAAUUAAUAAUUAAUGUUUAUUAUAUAAAAAAUUAAUAUAACGUUUGUUAUAGAAUACAUAUAUUGGAAAUAAGAAAGUAUAAGACGAAUUUGGGUUGUAGUAGUAAUCGAUCGCAAGUAAAUUAAUUCAUUAGAUAAGUAAGUUCGUCUAUCUUCCAAAGUUCCUGACUAGUUUUGCAAGAUAAAUUUAUCUUCUUUUCUACCGCAUGUUUAGCUAGAAGACGGUUUGGCGUCGAUCUUUGUUUAACUUGAAAGGAAAUUUCUCUUAGCUAUGAUGAAAUUGCCAAUAUUCAAACUAACAAUAGGAAGAAGCAUUGAAUGGUUGGAGUCUUAUUCCAGUGCUAAUAUAAUGGACGAAUAGAAAUAAUGAAUAACAAAUUAGUAUUUGUUGUGUGUCUAGAAUGCUAAGUGAGAUAGAAUAAAAUAUUGCAAAUCUAUUAGAAAUCCAGUUAUGUAAAUCCUGCGAGCUUUUCAUCUUUUGUAUUCCUCCCUCUUUCCCUUCCUCUCUCGCACUCUUUGAAAAAUUAUAUUUUUUUCUUUUAUUUCUAAAACUUUAGCAAUCGAAUAUUCAAUUAUUUCAAGAUUUUUUCUUUAACAUUGCGUGCAUGUAUUUAAUUGGAUUUUCUUUCGAGCUUUCUACGUGCGCUUUCAACUCAAUGAUUUUAUUAAUUAUUAAUACUACAGUUGAGAAAAUCAAAUGAUUCUCGUAUUAAUAUUAUUUGUAUUAUUACGUUGGAAUUUUUAAUAUUACAUGUUAAUAUUAAAUGUUUAACGUUAGAAAUGUUAUUAAUAAUUCUAUAUGUUGUGCAUUUUAAUCCUUUUAUUUCUUUUUGGAAAGAAGAAAAUAUGUUUUCUACGAACCUAUGUAGAAAUAAGAAGCCUUGAUUUUUUUUUUAAAUUUAUGUAUGUAUAUGCAAAUGUAUACUUAUAAAACAAUUAUGCAAAUACCAUAAGAGACAGAUAAAUAUAAAGAUCGUAUGAAUGUUUUCAGUCGUCAAAGUAAUCUGAAUUCGUAUGCAUAUGUGGAGCAUUUGUGUGGAAGCAAACAAGAGAUGUUUUUUGUCGUCCACCUAGUCAUUAAAAGUAUAUUAAAAAAAAAAAAAAAAAAGAAAAAAAAAUGGGGCAGUGGACCAAUUUAUUUAGGUCAGUAAUGUUCGAAUACGUUGAUCAAAGCUUUCUUUUUUAUCGUUAUGUUUCAAGCUAUUACUUAACAUUAUUAAAUAAUUAUAAUAAGUAAUAAAUUAUUAUUAUUAUUUCGAAAUAUUUUCAGGAAAGAUAUAUAAUAAAUAGAGAUAGAUUAUUUUAUUUUCGAUUUAUUAAUUGUUCGUAUUUUGAUCCGUACUGCAGAGAGAAAAGAGGAACUACGUACGUGUAACGAUAAAGUAAUAUGUAUAUGUGUGUUUGGUGGAAAAAGAUAUUUUAGUUUAUUAGUUAGAAAACAGUGAUCUAUUUUAAUGACACUGAUUAUUAAUAUUUUUCCUUUUCUUUUCCUUUAAUAUUUUAUAUCAUUCGUCAUUUUUUAAUAAUAAAUUGAAAAAAUGAACUAUUUUUUGACGCGGAGUGCUCUCUUUGGCGUAAUUCGCAUGUAUAGUUUGCUAUGCGCAUGCGCGGAACGGAUUAUUUAACGAUUUUUGCGCUGGAUCCGACGCCAUAUUUGUUCGAUAAAUACUGUUUUGACACGGCUGCGUAUCGUCCUCAUUAAUUUCAGGUAAUUAAUAGAUUUUUUUUAACGUACACCCUCUUAUUAUAUACCAAUCGAUAGAUAAAGUCAAAAUCUUCAUGAGGCCGCGUUCGCAAAUCAGAACAUCAUCGCAUUCAAAAGAUAUUCGCGAAAAUAAAAUUAGCGUCUCGGCGUCCCCGAGGGACAUUCUUUAUUUCAAAUUUUCUAGUAUUAUUUUCGCGAUAUCGAUACUUAUUUAGCUUUUUUAAGAUAUUUUAAUUAAUAAUUGUUCAUUAAUUAGCUUCCAUAUAUCAUAUUUUGUAUUAUAUUCGAUUUUCACACACGCACACACACAUACAUGGAUACAUGCAUGC